UCUGGACAUUGCCACAGGAGGAGAUGAACAUUUUUUUCUUGGAAACACAUCUGUCAAAAUCCUACACACCUCCCACGGCACUGUGUUCCUGCCCGGGACAAAGGGCAGCGGGAACCUUGCUGCGGUAUUUGCUGUGUGCCUGAGGAGGCGGCAGCGCCCUGCAAGGGCAGGGACAGGCUCGGCGCCUUGAGGCUUCAGUGAUGUCUGAGUAAACGCUGUGAAGACCCAGAGCCCCUGCUGUGCAUGAUCACAACCCAGGAACUUCCUCCUCAUCUCCACUCUCAGAACCGUAACCUGAGCCAAUGCAGACUGAAGAAUAUUCCAAGUUGGAAGUGACCCACAAGGAUCAUCAAGUUCAACACUUAAGUGAAUGGCGGUACAGGCUCAUAUCCAUCUAUUUGAUAAGACACAGGAAGUCUUCAACUGCAGCAGGGUGCUCCUGUUUCUCUGUAUGCUCUCCUGUAAAUGAGGACAGAUCAUGGUCAUCAACUAAAAGUAACACAAUGUUAUAGAAUGGAAUUUGCUCAAUCUCUCCAAGGCAUUUCCAGAUUAUAGCAUUAACCUUUCUAAAGCACUCAGUGGAUUG